rnacentral:rRNA from 1 species
CUAAGGUAGCGUAAUAGGUCGUCCUUUAAUUGGGGAAAAGUAUGAAUGGUCAGAUGGUGGAAAGACUUUAUUAGGGGUAGUAUUUUGAAGUUUACUUUCAGUGUGCAAAGGCCUGAAUAAUAUUAUUAGACGAGAAGACCCUGUUGAGCUUGAUAAAGUAUAGUCAAUUAGGCUGUAUAGUACGUUUGUUCGGGGCCGAGAGGAAGGGAUGAUUAUUCCUUCUUUGUCUGUGAGGAUCCAGCAAGGCUGAUAAGAAGAAGAUAGUUACCACAGGGAUAACAGCGCAAUCUUUUUGUCAAGAUCUAAUUUGAGGAUGGGUUUGC